rnacentral:rRNA from 1 species
CCUACGGGAGGCAGCAGUAAGGAAUAUUGCACAAUGGGCGAAAGCCUGAUGCAGCAACGCCGCGUGGGUGAUGAAGGCCUUCGGGUCGUAAAACCCUUUUCUGGGGGAAGAGGAAGGACGGUACCCCAGGAAUAAGCACCGGCUGACUACGUGCCAGCAGCCGCGGUAACACGUAGGGUGCGAGCGUUAUCCGGAUUUACUGGGCGUAAAGCGCGCGCAGGCGGUAUCGUAAGUUGGACGUGAAAUCUCUCGGCUUAACCGGGAGGCGCCGUUCAAUACUGCGAUGCUACGAGGGCAGAAGAGGGGAGCGGAAUUCCCGGUGUAGUGGUAAAAUGCGUAGAGAUCGGGAGGAACACCAGUGGCGAAAGCGGCUCUCUGGUCUGCACCUGACGCUGAGGCGCGAAAGCGUGGGGAGCGAACGGGAUUAGAUACCCCGGUAGUCCACGCCGUAAACGAUGGGUACUGGGUGUGGGAAGUAUUGUUUCUUUCCGUGCCGAAGCUAACGCGUUAAGUACCCCGCCUGGGGACUACGGCCGCAAGGUUAAAACUUAAAGGAAUUGACGG